CCUACGGGUGGCAGCAGUGAGGAAUAUUGGUCAAUGGGCGGGCGCCUGAACCAGCCAAGCCGCGUGAGGGAAGAAGGUACAGCGUAUCGUAAACCUCUUUUGUCAGGGAACAAAGGCGGGGACUAGUCCCCGGAUGAGGGUACCUGAAGAAAAAGCAUCGGCUAACUCCGUGCCAGCCGCCGCGGUAAUACGGAGGAUGUGAGCGUUAUCCGGAUUUUUUGGGUUUAAAGGGUGCGCAGGCGGCCUUGUACGUCGACGGUAAAACCCCGGGGAUCAACCCCGGCGAGCCGUUGAAACUGGCGGGCUGGAGUUGGAGAGAAGUACGCGGAAUGCGCGGUGGAGCGGUGAAAUGCUUAGAUAUCGCGCAGAACCCCGAUUGCGAAGGCAGCGUACCGGCUCCACACUGACGCUGAGGCACGAAAGCGUGGGUAUCGAACAGGAUUAGAUACCCCUGUAGUC
rnacentral:rRNA from 1 species